rnacentral:rRNA from 1 species
GAGUUUGAUCCUGGCUCAGGAUGAACGCUGGCGGCGUGCUUAACACAUGCAAGUCGAACGGGAAUUACUUUAUUGAAACUUCGGUCGAUUUAAUUUAAUUCUAGUGGCGGACGGGUGAGUAACGCGUGGGUAACCUGCCUUAUACAGGGGGAUAACAGUCAGAAAUGGCUGCUAAUACCGCAUAAGCGCACAGAGCUGCAUGGCUCAGUGUGAAAAACUCCGGUGGUAUAAGAUGGACCCGCGUUGGAUUAGCUAGUUGGUGGGGUAACGGCCCACCAAGGCGACGAUCCAUAGCCGGCCUGAGAGGGUGAACGGCCACAUUGGGACUGAGACACGGCCCAGACUCCUACGGGAGGCAGCAGUGGGGAAUAUUGCGCAAUGGGGGCAACCCUGACGCAGCAAUACCGCGUGAGUGAAGAAGGUUUUCGGAUUGUAAACCUCUGUCGCAGAAGACGAAGGAAGUGACGGUAUUCUGUGAGGAAGCCCCGGCUAACUACGUGCCAGCCGCCGCGGUAAUUC